AUACUUACCUGGCAGGGGAGAUACCAUGAUCAUAAAGGUGGUUUUCCCAGGGCAAGGCUUAUCCGUUGCUCUCCGGAUGUACUAACCCCUUCAAUUUCCCCAACUGUGGGAAACUCGACUGCAUAAUUUGUGGUAGUGGGGGACUAUGUUCACGCUCUCCCCUG